rnacentral:lncRNA from 1 species
CCAAACCUUGACAUUAUGGCUGAAAUUGUAGUGGUGGACAAUUUUCUAAAAGCUUCACUAUUAGUAAAUAUGCAAGCAUUCCAUCUCUUGACUCAAUGGAGCCUCAGACGUUGUUUCUUCUAUGUUAUAUAUGUGUCUUGUGGAAAAUUAAACAUUUGAUUGCACCCAUGUUUGCUUGUCUUUUGUCAAUGAACUUGUCAAUUUGAAAGAAUUGCUUUCCGUGUGGGGGAAACAUGGAGUGAUUUUAUGGAAAUUGGUGGAGUUCAUGUCAACAUUUCAUUGGUGUACAGUGAUUUCAGCCAACUGCUUUUCAUAAAUUAUAAUUUAAAGGACAAAUAUAAUACUUCUUUACAUCUAAAAGUGAUUUUCUAGCUAGUGAUUGAUUGUAAUAAUAUAUUGUGC